UCCAGAGGUUUCCUGCAGCCUCACCAGGGCAUGGCUGGGACUUCAGAGCUUCCCAGAGGGGAAAAAAAAUAAAAUUCCUCUUGAAAUGGUUUUGGACAGGUGUAAUAAAUAAAUAUAAACGAUGGAAUCAAGCUCUGGGCUUUAUCCUUGCAAGCCCAUGCCAGGGAACAUUUCAUGGAAUAAGGGGUGACAUCUUCCUCAGGGAGAAGAGGGAUGAGGUGAAUUCUCUGCACAAAAGGUGCCUGUAAAAGCAUCAUAAACCCUGGAAUGAAAGCUGCAGUCUGACAGCACACACCUCAUCUUGAGAGAGACAGGAGAAGGGAGAUUGGUUUCCUCUGACUCAGAGAAAAUAUUUCCUGAUCAGCUCCUUCUCAACUCUGCCCCCACUGACCCUGGCUCAGCCCUGACAGCAACCAAAGAGAAAAAUCAGAUUAUUUGUUAUGAACCAGGGGGGCAGCAGAGAGAUCUGCAAUCCUCCCUACAUAAAAUCACCCCUCAUUUUCAAUCCUGCUGAUCACUUUUGAAAGACAAAGCAAACACCUUUGAAAUGUGGCUUGGAUUUCUUGCCAGGAAAUGCCCAGAAUUUUACAGCUGAGAGCUCCAUCCCAGGAUGGUUGUGGAUGUCUGAGCCCUGAUGUUGGAGUGGGAUCACAGCUGGAAUGUUGUCCCUCAGGCAGGUGGAAUGUUGUCACCAAACCCUCAGAGCUCAAUCCUCUCACCCCAGCAGGAACUGGGAAAAAACAGGUGAAAAAAAAUAGGAAUAUUUCCAAGUGGGAAUGAAAAGAAAUGGAAGAUCCCAAAGCCAGCAGACUGGAAUCAGCACAAAUGUGCAAAAUCCUGCUUUAAAGGGAUCAUUGCUGCCAGGCAUCCCUUGGAUGUGAGCUGUGCCCACUCUGGAGCUUUGGAGAAAGGCCUGAAGUGCCAGGAAAAGAGGGAAUGGCUCCAAGCUUCCAGUGAGCUGGGAUUUUGGGAAGUGGGAACAGCCCUUGCUGGGGGAUUUUGGGAAGCCCUGGGAUUUUGGGAAGUGGGAACAGCCCUUGCUCACAUGGCAGCUGCAGGGACAGCCCUGAAAUUGCCUUUUCCCAAAGAUAUUGGGGUGAGAAAUGAUCCAGCAGUAGGUUUGGAUGGGGAAUCAAUCCUUCCAUGGAAAUCCUCCCCAGUUUCUCCCAGGACACCCAUCCUGGCAGAGCAGGGGGAACAGCAGCUCCUGAGCUCCUGACUCCUUCUGUGUCCUGUUUCUCCCCAUUUCCAAGCUGGAAAAUCCUUGGUGGCAAUGUCUGCAGGCCAUAAUGGCCAAAUAAAGACUUUUAAAAUGAAAUCUUGAAAUUAUAGAGACAUUUUCCUUUAUUUUUUUCACUCCAGAAGUCAGUGUCUGCAUUUCCCCAAAGCACAGAGCUCCA